rnacentral:lncRNA from 1 species
CUUCUUUGAAGCUGAACCCUUUCAUUUUAUCUUCAAUUUCCUGCUGAGUCCUUAAGUUCCUCUCCAAAGCAAACGAUGUUUGCUGAGGUUGGGUAAACUGAAGCAGAAGCCUGAAAAACCGAAAAGUCUCAAUGCGUGGCGAAAAGUCCCAACGCUUCCAGAUAAAGGAAAGCCGCGAGGAAAUGUUCAGAAAGCCCAGGUAUUGAGUCGGCUGCAAGUCCCACCAGGUUAAAAAGCAGGUACCCACCCUCACUAGAACUAUCAUUUCAAUCCCUAAAGCUUCCGACUUGGAAUCAAUUGCCCAACUUUACAUUGGAGAUUCAUCUUUUCUAAAAUAUAAAGACUAAAACUGCUCAAAGAAAUCUUCAGAGAGCAACACCUGAAAAGAGCUUCCGGCCUCAAAAGAGCUUCCUGUGGAAGUCAAGGGAUUGAAAGGAUAAGUAAUUUGGAGUGAAAGGAACGAGCCUCCCAAUCAGACUCCUCUCACACAGGCCCUCUGGAUUUGCUCCUUUGAAGUCAGUGUUCUGUGACCCUUCCAUCUCGCUGACCCCACAGCAACUUGACCGCAAGGACUAAUUAGAUUCGCUAGCACACUUCAAUUACCCCAAGCAGGGCCAAAUCUUUGAUGACCCUCUGACAACCACUCUGCGAUACCUUACCACUGACUUCCCUGUCAUGAUCAUAGCUGGUCUCCUCUCUCAUUUAACUUCCUCCUGUCUUCCUCAUUUGGCUCCUUUUUUUUUUUUUUUUUAAUAAAUACUCAAUAUGCAGAUUUUCCCCUUUUUUCUCACUGGUACCUACUGCAAUGCCCAGAAGCACUGGCUCUCCAUGCUGUGGAACAUGCCCAACACUACGCUAGGCAAUGAGAGAUACUGAUGAGCAAAACACACUUGUGGCCUCAUGGAAUGAAUGGAAGGAGGGAGAUAGCACAUAAGUAUUUCAGGUAGUGACAAGUGCUAUGGAAAAAAACCCAAGACAGGGUGGACACAGUAACCUCUUCAGAUGCGGCGGUAUAGGCAGGAAGGCUUCCUUGAGAUACCAGGCAAGCUACGAGCUACCUGAUGAGGAACCAGUGGGAGAACAUCUGGUGGCGAGGGCUUGGCCAGGGAGAAGGGGGCUCUGACACAGGAACAAAUUUGAUAUGCUUGAAAAUCACUAAGAUCACUGUGGCUGGAACACAGUCAGAGAGAAAAAUGUGUAGUAAAUGAGGUGGGAAAAAAAAGCAGGGCCAAUUCAAAUCAGACCUUGCAGGCCAUGGAAAGAAAUGCGGAAUUGACGUAAGUGCAAUGGGAAGCCAUCCGGGCGUUUCAGAAAGGAGCCUGACCUGACUCACAGGUAAAAUGAUCAUCUGUCUGCUUCAGUCUGACCUGUUGACAUCACCUACCCGGCCUCGGGAAGCAUUCACCUUCGUUACCCCUUUGAUGUAACUUGCUUUCUGCCCUCUGGAUAUACUCCAGGCACCCGCGACUCGGUACUUCAAGCCUAAAAUCAUUGCCUUCCACCCCAAAUCGGCUCUGCUCAUCCUCCCAGAUGUCCUAUCUCAGCGGAAGGCACCACCAUCCACCUGUGCAUCCUCGAGAGACUCUGCAGAGACUCUUCCGGUCUCCUCACCCUCAACCUUCCCACACACUCCGCUGGUCACCAAGUCCUGUCUAUUCUAUCGUGCAGUGACAUCCAUUUCUUUUUUUUAUUACCACUGUACCAGCCUAGGUCAGGCCCUCAUCAUCUUCCACUAAUUACUCUACAACCUCUAGUCCUUAGCUCCUCCUUCUAAUCCAGCAUCGCAGUCACCAGAGCUCUCUAAAUCACAGGUUUUGGCCAGGCGCGGUGGCUCACGCCUGUAAUCCCAGCACUUUGGGAGGCCGAGGCCAGUGGAUCACCUGAGGUCGGGAAUUCGAGACAGCCUGACCAACAUGGAGAAAUCCCAUCUCUACUAAAAACACAAAAUUAGCCUGGCAUGGUGGUGCAUGCCUGUAAUCCCAGCUACUCGGGAGGCUGAGGCAGGAGAAUUGCUUGAACCUGAGAAGCAGAGGUUGCGGUGAGCCGAGAUCGCGCCAUUGCACUCCCACCUGGGCAACAAGAGUGAAACUCCGUCUCAAAAAAAAAAACACCAAAACCCAAAACACACACACACACACAGGUCUUAUCACAUGCUCCUGUAUUUAAAACCUGCAAAUACUCUUCAGGCCUUCGGCACAAAGACCAAACCCUUGUGACACCAAACAUCUUGUGUUAACAAUAAAAACAACAAAAAUAAAAGUACUAAUCUAACAUUUACCAAAUGCCUACUACAUACCAUGCAGGACAAUAAGUACUUUAAAUACUUUAAUUCUACAACCCCAGGAAGCAGGCAUUUUCCCCAUUUCUCCAUCUGUCAAGAUUAAGCAACUAGAGAGCAGAGUUUAAGGAAUGUGUGCAAGGUCAGACCGCUUGCAAGAGUUCAGGUUCAUCCACUUAGCAUCAGCAAUUGACUAAGUUCUUCAAAACCAGUUCUGACGCCAAAGUCCUACUUCCUACUUCCUCUGCCACCCUGGCACUGUGGCCACAGCCUACCUUGAGCCCUUACCACCAAUGCUGCUCUUACCACCAGACAAUGUGACAACACUGUUCUAGAACGGAUCCUCUGCCCCUCUGGGCGGUGCCUUCUUUUUACCUAGCAUGCCUCUUCCCACGUGGGGAAUAUUAACGUGGAGUGAGCAAGAUAAGCUGAAAGAAUACAGGGUCUGGAAUCAGAGACCAGCUCCAAAUCCUGGCCCUGCACUUCACAGUUGCACCACUUUGGGAAUGAUUUUAAUAGUUUCCUGAUCCAUCUAGUGGGAUCCCAAUAGGUAUCCCAGAGUCAUGAGGAUUAAAAUGAAAUAAUGUAUACAAAGCAUCUAGCACUCAGUCAACUGACAAGGGUUCCUACAGGGACCAUUCAGCAGAGGCAUCAUCCCCUCUGUAAAGGCUUCCUUCUUUUGGCCACGCCAACAGCUCCCUGACGUUGGUCACAGCACUGAUAUACUAUUUAGCACCUGUGCUGGCAGUUACAGGCUAGACAUACCAUUUCUCUGAGUGAGUGAGGGGCAUAAGGGACUGCUUUUUAAAUGAUCUUUGUGAUCCUAGCACCAAGCACAUGUCUGGCACACGGUUGUCAUUCAAUGUGCCUCUGAAUUAGUGACAUGGUCAAUCUAAACAAGCAUCCACUGAAUACAUUUUAAAAUUUGCCAAAUAGCUGGGAACGGUAGCUCACUCCUGUAAUCCCAGCACUCUGGGAAGCCGAGGCGGGUGGAUCACCUGAGGUCAGGAGUUCGAGACCAGCCUGGCCAACAUGGUGAAACCCUGUCUCUACUAAAAAUACAAAAAUUAGCCGGGUGUGGUGGUGCACAGCUGUAAUCCCAGCUACUCAGGAGGCUGAGGCAGGGGAAUUGCUUGAACCUGGAGACAGACGUUGCAGUGAGCGGAGAUCACACCACUGCACUCCAGCCUGGGCAAUAAGAGCAACUCCGUCUCAAAAAAAAAAUAAUAAUAAUAAAAUAAAAUUUGCCAAAUAGAUACCACUUCUCAGUAAGCCUCACUGUUAAUAUUUCUUGAAUCCUCCUGAGUUAAAAAAUCUGUAUAUUCUUUGGUACCAUUUGAAACAUGAGAGAGUCUGCUUCUUCUCUCAUCAUUUAUAGAACUGGUCAAGUGUAUUCUCCCUACCCUUCCCUCAAACUCAUACUUUAAAGAUAAAAAGUACUUGGUAUCCCUAGGCACAAACCAUGGGAAUUCUCUGUAGAAUGAAUUAAGCAUCAUCUACUCCCAUUAUCAGCAAUUCAAAUACAAGAGCUAAUUUUCUUCUUUAGUAGAUUUCUGUGGAAUAUACGAACAGAAAAUUCCUUCUUUAAAAUAUGUCUUCUCCCUUUUUCAGUGUUUUAUACAUUUUUAUUUUCCUAAUUUUUUAAUGUUUUCUAAUCUUAACAUUCCAUCUUGGACAAUGACACAGGUUAUAUUCCUUUUUGUUUCUGAGAGUUUCAUUCUGUUGCCUAGGCUGGAGUGCUGUGGUGUGAUCUCAGCUCACUGCAGCCUUGGCCUCCCAGGCUCAAGCAAUCAUUCCAUCUCAGCCUCCUGAGUAACUGGGACUACAGGCACGCACCACCAUGCCUGGUCAACUCUUUUUUUUUUUUUUGAGACGGAGUCUUGCCCUGUCGCCAGGCUGGAGUGCAGUGGCACGAUCUCAGCUCACUGCAACCUCCGCCUCCCGGGUUCAGCGAUUCCCCUGCCUCAGCCUCCUGAGUAGCUGGGACUACAGGCACGUGCCACCAUGCCCAGCUAAUUUUUUGUAUUUUAGUAGAGACAGGGUUUCACCAUGUUGGCCAGGCUGGUCUCGAUCUUCUGACCUUGUGAUCCACCCACCUCACCCUCCCAAAGUGCUGGGAUUACAGGCGUGAGCCACCGCGCCCGGCCCGCAUAGUUAACUUUUCAAAAAAAAAUUUUUGUAGAAAUGGGAUUUCACCAUGUUGCUCAGGCUGGUCUCAAAUUCGUGAGCUCAAACGAUCCACCUGCCUCAGCCUCCCAAAAUGCUGGGAUUACAGGUAUGUGCUACCACACCAGCUAACACAGGUUGUAUUCUUAAACAAAUGUAGUUUUGUUUCCAAGUAUUACACACUAGAAUGACAAACGUUCAACACAACCAUAGGAAAAUUUCAAAAAUAUAUACCAAAUGUCUAGCCUAGAACUUUUUGAAGCUUAAAAUUAGAAAAUAAAGCCUUUACUCUGAGCUGAUUACCAAGCGUUGCUUAAGUGACUCUCAGCUUACCUGGUUCGUAUAAAAGAGGCACAUGCUUUCAGCUGAGUCUCUAUCAACACUGUUUCUCUCUUUUCUGCCAUACAGUUUUGGAUAUUUGUCAG